UUAAGCGACUAAGCGUACACGGUGGAUGCCCUGGCAGUCAGAGGCGAUGAAGGACGUGCUAAUCUGCGAAAAGCGCCGGCGAGGUGAUAUGAACCUUUGACCCGUCGAUGUCCGAAUGGGGAAACCCAGUGUGUUCCGACACACUAUCGUUAACUGAAUACAUAGGUUAACGAGGCGAACCGGGGGAACUGAAACAUCUAAGUACCCCGAGGAAAAGAAAUCAACCGAGAUUCCCCCAGUAGCGGCGAGCGAACGGGGAGCAGCCCGGAGUCUGAAUCAGCUUGUGUGUUAGUGGAACGGUCUGGAAAGUCCGACGGUACAGGGUGAUAGUCCCGUACACGAAAAUGCACAUGCUGUGAACUCGAAGAGUAGGGCGGGACACGUGGUAUCCUGUCUGAAUAUGGGGGGACCAUCCUCCAAGGCUAAAUACUCCUGACUGACCGAUAGUGAACCAGUACCGUGAGGGAAAGGCGAAAAGAACCCCGGCGAGGGGAGUGAAAAAGAACCUGAAACCGUGUACGUACAAGCAGUGGGAGCCUCUUUAUGGGGUGACUGCGUACCUUUUGUAUAAUGGGUCAGCGACUUAUAUUCUGUAGCAAGGUUAACCGUAUAGGGGAGCCGAAGGGAAACCGAGUCUUAACUGGGCGUUAAGUUGCAGGGUAUAGACCCGAAACCCGGUGAUCUAGCCAUGGGCAGGUUGAAGGUUGGGUAACACUAACUGGAGGACCGAACCGACUAAUGUUGAAAAAUUAGCGGAUGACCUGUGGCUGGGGGUGAAAGGCCAAUCAAACCGGGAGAUAGCUGGUUCUCCCCGAAAGCUAUUUAGGUAGCGCCUCGUGAACUCAUCUUCGGGGGUAGAGCACUGUUUCGGCUAGGGGGCCAUCCCGGCUUACCAACCCGAUGCAAACUACGAAUACCGAAGAAUGUUAUCACGGGAGACACACGGCGGGUGCUAACGUCCGUCGUGAAGAGGGAAACAACCCAGACCGCCAGCUAAGGUCCCAAAGUCAUGGUUAAGUGGGAAACGAUGUGGGAAGGCACAGACAGCCAGGAUGUUGGCUUAGAAGCAGCCAUCAUUUAAAGAAAGCGUAAUAGCUCACUGGUCGAGUCGGCCUGCGCGGAAGAUGUAACGGGGCUAAACCAUGCACCGAAGCUGCGGCAGCGACACUAUGUGUUGUUGGGUAGGGGAGCGUUCUGUAAGCCGUUGAAGGUGUGCUGUGAGGCAUGCUGGAGGUAUCAGAAGUGCGAAUGCUGACAUAAGUAACGAUAAAGCGGGUGAAAAGCCCGCUCGCCGGAAGACCAAGGGUUCCUGUCCAACGUUAAUCGGGGCAGGGUGAGUCGACCCCUAAGGCGAGGCCGAAAGGCGUAGUCGAUGGGAAACAGGUUAAUAUUCCUGUACUUGGUGUUACUGCGAAGGGGGGACGGAGAAGGCUAUGUCAGCCGGGCGACGGUUGUCCCGGUUUAAGCAUGUAGGCGGAGGUUCCAGGUAAAUCCGGUACCUUUUAACGCUGAGGUGUGAUGACGAGGCACUACGGUGCUGAAGUGAUAAAUGCCCUGCUUCCAGGAAAAGCCUCUAAGCAUCAGGUAACACGAAAUCGUACCCCAAACCGACACAGGUGGUCAGGUAGAGAAUACCAAGGCGCUUGAGAGAACUCGGGUGAAGGAACUAGGCAAAAUGGUGCCGUAACUUCGGGAGAAGGCACGCUGAUAUGUAGGUGAAGCCCCUGCGGGCGGAGCUGAAAUCAGUCGAAGAUACCAGCUGGCUGCAACUGUUUAUUAAAAACACAGCACUGUGCAAACACGAAAGUGGACGUAUACGGUGUGACGCCUGCCCGGUGCCGGAAGGUUAAUUGAUGGGGUUAGCGGCAACGCGAAGCUCUUGAUCGAAGCCCCGGUAAACGGCGGCCGUAACUAUAACGGUCCUAAGGUAGCGAAAUUCCUUGUCGGGUAAGUUCCGACCUGCACGAAUGGCGUAAUGAUGGCCAGGCUGUCUCCACCCGAGACUCAGUGAAAUUGAACUCGCUGUGAAGAUGCAGUGUACCCGCGGCAAGACGGAAAGACCCCGUGAACCUUUACUAUAGCUUGACACUGAACACUGGUCCUUGAUGUGUAGGAUAGGUGGGAGGCUUUGAAGCGUGGACGCCAGUCUGCGUGGAGCCGCCCUUGAAAUACCACCCUUUAAUGGCUGGUGUUCUAACGUAGACCCGUGAUCCGGGUUGCGGACAGUGUCUGGUGGGUAGUUUGACUGGGGCGGUCUCCUCCCAAAGAGUAACGGAGGAGCACGAAGGUUGGCUAAUCCUGGUCGGACAUCAGGAGGUUAGUGCAAUGGCAUAAGCCAGCUUGACUGCGAGCGUGACGGCGCGAGCAGGUGCGAAAGCAGGUCAUAGUGAUCCGGUGGUUCUGAAUGGAAGGGCCAUCGCUCAACGGAUAAAAGGUACUCCGGGGAUAACAGGCUGAUACCGCCCAAGAGUUCAUAUCGACGGCGGUGUUUGGCACCUCGAUGUCGGCUCAUCACAUCCUGGGGCUGAAGUAGGUCCCAAGGGUAUGGCUGUUCGCCAUUUAAAGUGGUACGCGAGCUGGGUUUAGAACGUCGUGAGACAGUUCGGUCCCUAUCUGCCGUGGGCGCUGGAGAAUUGAGGGGGGCUGCUCCUAGUACGAGAGGACCGGAGUGGACGCAUCACUGGUGUUCGGGUUGUCAUGCCAAUGGCACUGCCCGGUAGCUAAAUGCGGAAGAGAUAAGUGCUGAAAGCAUCUAAGCACGAAACUUGCCCCGAGAUGAGUUCUCCCUGAGACUUUAAGUCUCCUGAAGGAACGUUGAAGACGACGACGUUGAUAGGUCGGGUGUGUAAGCGCAGCGAUGCGUUGAGCUAACCGAUACUAAUGAACCGUGAGGCUUAACCUU
rnacentral:rRNA from 1 species